rnacentral:tRNA from 1 species
UCCCAGAUAGCUCAGUUGGUAAAGAAUCCGCCUGCAAUGCAGGAGACCUGGGUUUGAUCCCUGGGUUGGGAA